GAUGAACGCUGGCGGCGUGCCUAAUACAUGCAAGUCGAGCGAAUGGAUUAAGAGCUUGCUCUUAUGAAGUUAGCGGCGGACGGGUGAGUAACACGUGGGUAACCUGCCCAUAAGACUGGGAUAACUCCGGGAAACCGGGGCUAAUACCGGAUAACAUUUUGAACCGCAUGGUUCGAAAUUGAAAGGCGGCUUCGGCUGGCACUUAUGGAUGGACCCGCGUCGCAUUAGCUAGUUGGUGAGGUAACGGCUCACCAAGGCAACGAUGAGUAGCCGACCUGAGAGGGUGAUCGGCCACACUGGGACUGAGACACGGCCAGACUCCUACGGGAGGCAGCAGUAGGGAAUCUUCCGCAAUGGACGAAAGUCUGACGGAGCAACGCCGCGUGAGUGAUGAAGGCUUUCGGGUCGUAAAACUCUGUUGUUAGGGAAGAACAAGUGCUAGUUGAAUAAGCUGGCACCUUGACGGUACCUAACCAGAAAGCCACGGCUAACUACGUGCCAGCAGCCGCCGUAA
rnacentral:rRNA from 1 species